ACUAGAAACCCAGAUUUUGUAUCAGUACUAGUUACUUUCAAAGUUAGGCACAGUUUAAAAGCAAAGAAUGUAAGAUUGGAAAUGGAAUGAUAAGUUCACAAGGUCAAAGAAGAAAAUAAAAAGGAAUGAAAGCAUCCCACGUAAUUGACCAGGGCUUUUGUUUUUUGUUUGUUUCCUUCUUUGAAAAUUUUGACAAUCGGGAAUACCUAUGGCUUAUCCAGUAGUAAACAUAUAGAUAAGAAGAAGUUACAUCUAGCUUGCUAUUCGACCAGAAAACUGGAAUUAUCUACAAUCCAAUCGACAUAUAUAUUAGAAACAAAAGUUAGUAAAAGCUAGCAUGAAAGAAUAUAUAUAAAUAUAGUGUAAACGCUACAGUACACUAAUUUUUAUUUUAUUGGCGGAGAGAGAGAGAAACUUGUUUACGGAAAGUAGGCUUGGCCUUAGCCGCUGGAUACAUUGAACUUGACUAACCCUAGCGUCGAGACACCAUUUAUUUCCAUUUUCGUCUCUUGACGAGCCUGUAGUCGCUUGCAGACUAUAAGGAAAAGGAAAGGUAAAAUCGGGACAGGUAGAUCUCUUUCUCUCACAUGUAUAUAUAGAGGGGGGGGGCGAAUUUUGAAGGACCAGAAGAAAAGAAGGGAAAACUUGAGAAAGAGAUAGAUCAUGACUGCUACGAACAAAAACAAGUUAAUAUCAGAAAGACGACAGACAAAAGGAGCACAACCGGCUGAAAAAUGUUGACAAUCCCAUCUUUAACACAUUGUACUGAUGAGGGCGUCGGUGAUUGUUGGAAGCUAAGCUGUUCAUCGCUUCCCAUCACUUGAGUAAGAGCUGUAACCAUGGCUGUCAUGUCCGCGGAUUCAGUCCAUGAAGUUGCGGCUGCUGCAAAUUCAUCGGGUCCUUUGCUUUUCUCCUCCGAUGUUUCGGAUGGAAGUGGACGUUUUCCAUGCCUUCGAUCCACCGUUUUUUUUCCCAAAAAACACUGCUAAUACUAUGUAUAGUUCGCAGAUAUGUAAAAAAUGGUUUGCUAGAUAGCUAGCUGCCUGGGGUACUAAUGUAUAUAAAUGGAGAGAUGUGUGGGAUUAAGACAGGAGGGGAUCGACGAGUAUGAGAUUGAAGUGAGGGUGCAAUAUAUUUGGGUUAAACUAUAUAAUGGGGGAAAUGGGGGAGGAUAUUUAGAAGAGGAAAUUUUCGGGUUUUAUUGGAUCCGACACUGGACAGUCCUUUUGGGGCUCAAAAUUACCCAUAUAUUAACUGUGUCACUUAAAUUACAAAUCCACUUGUAAAAAAAAGCUAGACAAAUAAAGGAUUUAAAUAGUGAUACAAAGGAAACCAACGGUGCACAUGUUUCUCACAUGCACGCAAUUUCUUACAUUGGAUACAUGUAAAUAAAAUAUAUAUUAACAUGUGGUUGGGAUUCAA